GACCUGACUGCUAUCGGAUUGAUACUAAGCCAUGUGAGUCUUUGUAGUAAUACAAGGCAGACGGCUCAGUAACGCGUAGUCAACCUACCCUAUGGACGGGAAUAAUCUCGGGAAACUGAGCAUAAUACCCGGCGUACCAUCAUUCCUGGAAUGGUUGGUGGUUAAAAUGAUUCGUCGCCGUAGGAUGGGACUGCGACCUAUCAGCUUGUUGGUGGGGUAAAGGCCCACCAAGGCGAUUACAGGUACGGGCUCUGAGAGGAGAAGCCCGGAGAUGGGUACUGAGACACGGACCCAGGCCCUAUGGGGCGCAGCAGGCGAGAAAACUUUGCAAUGUGCGAAAGCACGACAAGGUUAAUCCGAGUGAUUUCUGCUAAAGGAAUCUUUUGCCAGUUCUAAAAAUACUAGUGAAUAAGGGGUGGGCAAGUUCUGGUGUCAGCCGCCGCGGUAAAACCAGCACCUCAAGUGGUCAGGAGGAUUAUUGGGCCUAAAGCAUCCGUAGCCUGCUCUGUAAGUUUUCGGUUAAAUCUAUAUGCUCAACGUAUAGGCCGCCGAAAAUACUGCAGUGCUAGGAAGUGGGAGAGGUAGACGGUACUUGAUAGGAAGGGGUAAAAUCCUUUGAUCUAUCGAUGACCACCUGUGGCGAAGGCGGUCUACCAGAACACGUUCGACGGUGAGGGAUGAAAGCUGGGGGAGCAAACCGGAUUAGAUACCCGGGUAGUCCCAGCUGUAAACGAUGCAGACUCGAUGAUGCAUUGGCAUAUAGCCAGUGCAGUGUCGCAGGGAAGCCGUUAAGUCUGCCGCCUGGGAAGUACGUACGCAAGUAUGAAACUUAAAGGAAUUGGCGGGGGAGCACCACAAGGGGUGAAGCCUGCGGUUCAAUUGGAUUCAACGC
rnacentral:rRNA from 1 species